UUCUGAAAAGAAAGUAUAACCGGUAAUCUGAUAAAAAGUUGAAAGUAUAUUCUCUGAAUUUGAAGCUAAGAAUGCAAACUCUCACAGAAAAAAAUUAAUAAAAUAAAGGGGGGAAAAGGCCCCCAAACAACAAACAAAACAAAAAAAAGGAAGACAGAGUUGUUAAAUACUAAGAAUAAGUGAGAAUACGUCCUUAAUUCUCAUUAUGACAAGCCAAGACGAUGGAAUAUUAGCCUAUGAAUCCAUAUAUAUUUUGAGCUACAGGUGAAUUUAUCAAGGUAAGGGAUUUUGCGCAUUUCUGAGAUGCAUGUGUCUGUUUGGGGAUGGCUAUUAAUCCUAUUUUUCGGAAUUGCAGGUUAAAGCCUAAUUGAAAAACAAAAACGGGUAAACCUAAAUUAAGGAAUAGCCAAAUAGUUUUUUUUUUAAAGAUAUCAUAAACCUGAGAUUGACAAACAAUUUCCAUAACUCUAUCCAUAAAACAUACAAACAUAUAGGACGAGUCUCCUGGGAUGAUUUUAAAGUAUAAGAGGUGUCUUGAAAGGUUUAGAUUCUUUCCAAAGACGUAGUUUAUGUAAUGGGUAUUUUGUCUGCAUUUACGUCUGCGUACCAGGAGAGGGCAUCGGAGCGGAACGCACGAAUCUACAGUUACUGAUGGCUUUGAGACGCCAUGUUGACAGGAUUUCUCUAUGUAAGUAGCUAUGGCUGUCCUGGAACUUGUUCUGUUGACCAGACUGUCCCAGAACUCAAGAGAUGUGCCUGCCUCUGGCUCAGAGUGCUGAAAUAAAAGACAGGGCUCUUAUAUUGCAAGCUGGCCUCCCGUCCCUGCCUUCUGCAUCACCCUGCUGGAAAAUAUUUUCUAGCUAUAUAAAAUAAAAGUCUCCAGAUAUUUAUUUAUUUUGUUUUUUUGAGACAGGGUUUUUCUGUAUAGCCCUGGCUGUCCUGGAACUCACUUUGUAGACCAGAUUGACCUCGAACUCAGAAAUCCGCCUGCCUCUGCCUCCCGAGUACUGGGAUUAAAGGCGUGUGCCACCACGCUCGGCUCAGAUAUAUUUUUUUAAAUAAAAAUAUUUCUAACGUUGUAUUUACAAUUGGGAUUUAAAAUCCACCCACCACUAGGUCAGGUUCCAUGCCCACUCCUUUGAUUUAUCUGUUGCCCUCCCUCCACUUAAUACUUAAGAUCAUAACCUGAUAGUUGUUAGAAUGAGCCGAGCAACUGGAGUCCCCCAAGCCACCUUAGCCUUUCCUAACGCUAAGUCUCAUAAUCUUCCUAGUAGGAAUGAAGAUAUUCUAAAGAAGCUCUUGUGCUCCUCUUUUUGAUAAGACUCCAAGAAACUGGAACUUCUCCAGGAAUUACAUGCUGGGUGAAAGAAGGCUGAAGCCUGCCUGGUUCCAGCCAGAGGGACAGCUUUCUCUCACACAUAGAUUUCACACCACCUUGCAGGAGAGGCUAAAGUUGAAACCAUGAUGGAAAAGGUAUCACACCUUGACCGAGGCUGCUUAGUUAUGCACAGCAGUUGAACCAAACGUCAUGUUCGGACUCUGAUGAUGAACUUGGUCGGAGGAUGGGGGGGUCAAUUGCCUCCU
rnacentral:lncRNA from 1 species